CUCUUACAGAGCUGAGGCUUCUCAGAGAAUAAUGUGGAAAAUGCUCUUCGAACAUAAAUGUAACUGGUUCACAAACUGUAACUUGGCCAGCCUCUUCUGGGAGAGGGGGCAUAGUGUCAUUGGCUCUCUAUUGUGGUUUGCAGGGCAGCAAGGGGCAGAGGGAUCAUGAGCAACAGCUGUCUCCAGGCUCUUGAACUACUUGGCAGGGCAUUUGUGCAUGUCUCAAGCCUGUUCCUUAGGAGCUGUGCCCUUAUUUGAGCCAGAACUACACAAAGGCAUUGUCCUCAAACACUGGGUCUCCUCUUUCUUGACUGGCCCUGUUUACCCAUUCAUCAGCAGGUGGUGGCUGGAACAUUCCCCUUUGAUUUUGUGGUUCAGGAGCGGCAAGCUAAGACCUAAGCUGAAUAAACAUAGUAUCAUUUGGCACUGGCAAGAUUCCUGGUAGUCCGGGUCAGGAGAGGUUUAAGGAGGAUUAGGUUUAGAUUAGAAAAGGGGUUGAGUUAUUUUUUUUCCCUGUGGUUUCUCUUAAGUGCCUUAGGGUUUUGUAAGAGGAAAGUGGGCUGACAGCCUGGACUCAGUUGCUCCAGAGAUAAAAGUGGUGAGCUCAGUGUUCUUUUCUGGACCAUCAGGAGGGUAUGUUCUUCUCCUGAACAUGGUUUUUCCCAUGAGACUCAUGAGUUCCUGGGAAUCUGCUGAAAGCUCUAAACCUUUUCUCUAGAAAACUGGGGGCAUCUGUGCACAAGCACGCACGGGCAGGUACACAAGGGCACGCCCACACCUGCUUGCGCGUGCGCAUACAUCUGAUUUGACUUACUCGCAGGCGUUCCUGAAAUUCACCAGCCAGAAAAUUUUCAAGAGCCUACACAACUCACUUUUCAGAGAGACCUCACCCUUCCCAGAGGUUUUAUGACCCCAGACAGAUCCACAGUCACCCUCCUCCCAACUCCACAAGAGGCCUUCCAAGACCAGCAGAUAAAUCUGGCUCAGGCUCAAGGAAGGAAGUCAGCUGCAUUUGCUCUGCGUGCUGGUGUGCACGAGACCUUGUGUGUGCCCUCUAGAAGUGGAGCCCCUGUUUCCUACCAUCCCCCACCCCUGUCCUGUGGAGCUCCUACAAUCAGGCCCCACUGGCCUUCAAAGCCAGAUCUGCUGAGGGCUCCUCCAUUCAAUGCCAGGCCCCUAGACUGGGUAGCCUGAUGUGGAACUCAGAGCUCUCAGCUCUGUGGGAGAAUUUCUGUGAUGUAAUUAGUCUCUAGAUUGUGGGUCACCCACCCAGGUAGUAUGGGAUUUAAUUACAUUGCAAAGUAC
ensembl:lncRNA